GACGAACGCUGGCGGCGUGCUUAACACAUGCAAGUCGAACGGUGAAGCGCCUUCCUUUUUGGUGGGUGUGGAUGAGUGGCGAACGGGUGAGUAACACGUGAGUAACCUGCCCCCUUCUUCUGGAUAACCGCAUGAAAGUGUGGCUAAUACGGGAUAUUCUGGGUCUGUCGCAUGAUGGGUCUGGGAAAGAUAUUGUUUCGGAGGGGGAUGGGCUCGCGGCCUAUCAGCUUGUUGGUGGGGUGAUGGCCUACCAAGGCGGUGACGGGUAGCCGGCCUGAGAGGGUGGACGGUCACACUGGGACUGAGACACGGCCCAGACUCCUACGGGAGGCAGCAGUGGGGAAUAUUGCACAAUGGGCGCAAGCCUGAUGCAGCGACGCCGCGUGAGGGAUGGAGGCCUUCGGGUUGUGAACCUCUUUCGCCAGUGAAGCAGGCCUGCCUCGUUUGUGGGUGGGUUGACGGUAGCUGGAUAAGAAGCGCCGGCUAACUACGUG
rnacentral:rRNA from 1 species